CACGUCUACCAAGAUGACAUCGGGAGGAAUGCAGUGGACACCUUUCAGGUCAAUGUUAUCCAUGCCCGGCAGCUGAUGGGUAGCCCUGUCACCAACAUUGCUUGCACCAGCUUCUUCCAUAUUAAGAGGUCCAACAUCUGACUGGCAGCGGUCACCAAGCAGAAUGUCAGUGCUGCCAUGGUCUUUGAACUCCUCUAUAAGAUGUGUGACGUAAUGGCUGCCUCCUCUGAAAAAAUCAGCAAGGACACCAAAAACAAUUUUGUGCUCAUAUAUGAGCUGCUGCUGGGUGAGAUCCUGGACUUUGGUUACCCACAAAACUCCGAGAGAGGUGCGCUGAAAACCUUCAUCGCCCAGCAGGUAUCAAGAGUCAGCAUCAAACAACAGAAGAGCAAUUCCAGAUCACCAGCCAGGUGACUGGGCAGAUGGGUUGGCACCGGGAGGGCGUCACGUAUCUUCCUGGAUGUGCUGGAGAGUGUGAACCUGCUCGUAUCCCCACAGGGGGAGGUGCUGAGUGCCCAUGUGUCAGGCUGGGUGGUGAUGAAGAGCUACCUGAGUGGCAUGCCCAAAUGCAAGUUUGGAAUGAAUGAGAAGAUUGUCAUUGAAAAGCAGGACAAAAGGCACAGCUGAUGAAACAAGCAAGAGUAGGAAGCCAUCAAUUGCCAUUGAUGACUGCACCUUCCACCAGUGUGUGCAACUCAGCAAGUUUGACUCUGAAUGCAGCAUCAGCUUCAUCCCACCAGAUGGAGAGUUUGAGCUCAUGAGGUAUCUACCACCAAGGACAUCAUCCUUCCUUUCCGAGUAAUCCCACUCGUGCAGGAGGUGGGACGCACAACACUGGAGGUCAAGGUGGUCAUCAAGUCCAACUUCAAGCCCUCACUCCUGGCUCUGAAGAUUGAGGCGAGGAUCCCAAACCUACCAAACACAAGUGGCAUGCGAGUGAUCUGCAUGAAGGGGAAGGCCAAGUACAAGGCUAGCGGGAAGGCCAUUGUGUGGAAGAUCAAGCGCAUGGCAGGCAUGAAGGAAUCACAGAUCAGUGCAGAGAUUGAGCUUCUGCCCGCCAACGACAAGAAGAAAUGGGCUCGACCCCCCAUUUCCAUUAACUUUGAGGUGCCGUUCUCGCCCUCUGGCCUCAAGGUGCGCUACUUGAAGGUGUUUGAACUGAAGCUGGACUACAGCGACCACAAGGUCAUCAAAUGAGUGCGCCACAUGGGCCACAGCGGCAUUUACCAAACCCGCGGCCAGCUGCCUGGUGACAGCUAG